rnacentral:rRNA from 1 species
UACGAGGGGGGCGAGCGUUUGUUCGGAAUUAUUGGGCGUAAAGGGUGCGUAGGCGGUUUGGUAAGUCUGAUGUGAAAUCUAUGGGCUCAACUCAUAGUCUGCAUCGGAAACUGCCGGGCUUGAGUAUGGGAGAGGUGAGUGGAAUUCCUGGUGUAGCGGUGAAAUGCGUAGAUAUCAGGAGGAACACCGGUGGUGUAAACGGCUUUCUGGACCAUAACUGACGCUGAGGCACGAAAGCGUGGGUAGCAAACAGG